rnacentral:rRNA from 1 species
ACUCAAAUGAAUAGACGGGGGCUCACACAAGCGGAGGAGCAUGUUGUUCAAUUCGAAGCAACGCGAAGAACCUUACCUGGGUUUGACAUUCACGAAGUAGAAACCCGAAAGGGUAACGAUCCGGGCAACCGGUAAACGUGAACAGGUGCUGCAUGGCUGUCGUCAGCUCGUGUCGUGAGACGUUAGGUUAAGUCCUGUAACGAGCGAAACCCUUGUCAUCUGUUGCCACCAGGUCAUGCUGGGCACUCUGAUGAGACUGCCGAUGUCAAAUCGGAGGAAGGUGGGGACGACGUCAAGUCAUCAUGGUCCUUACACCCAGGGCUACAAACGUGCUACAAUGGCUGGUACAGAGAGACGCAAGACCGCGAGGUGGAGCAAAUCUUCAAAACCAGCCUCAGUUCGGAUUGGAGGCUGAAAUUCGCCUCCAUGAAGCCGGAUUCGCUAGUAAUCGCGGAUCAGAUACGCCGCGGUGAAUACGUUCCUGAGCCUUGUACACACCGCCCGU